AGCCCGCUCGCCGGAAGACCAAGGGUUCCUGUCCAACGUUAAUCGGGGCAGGGUGAGUCGACCCCUAAGGCGAGGCCGAAAGGCGUAGUCGAUGGGAAACAGGUUAAUAUUCCUGUACUUGGUGUUACUGCGAAGGGGGGACGGAGAAGGCUAUGUUGGCCGGGCGACGGUUGUCCCGGUUUAAGCGUGUAGGCUGGUUUUCCAGGCAAAUCCGGAAAAUCAAGGCUGAGGCGUGAUGACGAGGCACUACGGUGCUGAAGCAACAAAUGCCCUGCUUCCAGGAAAAGCCUCUAAGCAUCAGGUAACAUCAAAUCGUACCCCAAACCGACACAGGUGGUCAGGUAGAGAAUACCAAGGCGCUUGAGAGAACUCGGGUGAAGGAACUAGGCAAAAUGGUGCCGUAACUUCGGGAGAAGGCACGCUGAUAUGUAGGUGAAGUCCCUCGCGGAUGGAGCUGAAAUCAGUCGAAGAUACCAGCUGGCUGCAACUGUUUAUUAAAAACACAGCACUGUGCAAACACGAAAGUGGACGUAUACGGUGUGACGCCUGCCCGGUGCCGGAAGGUUAAUUGAUGGGGUCAGCGCAAGCGAAGCUCUUGAUCGAAGCCCCGGUAAACGGCGGCCGUAACUAUAACGGUCCUAAGGUAGCGAAAUUCCUUGUCGGGUAAGUUCCGACCUGCACGAAUGGCGUAAUGAUGGCCAGGCUGUCUCCACCCGAGACUCAGUGAAAUUGAACUCGCUGUGAAGAUGCAGUGUACCCGCGGCAAGACGGAAAGACCCCGUGAACCUUUACUAUAGCUUGACACUGAACAUUGAGCCUUGAUGUGUAGGAUAGGUGGGAGGCUUGGAAGUGUGGACGCCAGUCUGCAUGGAGCCGACCUUGAAAUACCACCCUUUAAUGUUUGAUGUUCUAACGUUGACCCGUAAUCCGGGUUGCGGACAGUGUCUGGUGGGUAGUUUGACUGGGGCGGUCUCCUCCUAAAGAGUAACGGAGGAGCACGAAGGUUGGCUAAUCCUGGUCGGACAUCAGGAGGUUAGUGCAAUGGCAUAAGCCAGCUUGACUGCGAGCGUGACGGCGCGAGCAGGUGCGAAAGCAGGUCAUAGUGAUCCGGUGGUUCUGAAUGGAAGGGCCAUCGCUCAACGGAUAAAAGGUACUCCGGGGAUAACAGGCUGAUACCGCCCAAGAGUUCAUAUCGACGGCGGUGUUUGGCACCUCGAUGUCGGCUCAUCACAUCCUGGGGCUGAAGUAGGUCCCAAGGGUAUGGCUGUUCGCCAUUUAAAGUGGUACGCGAGCUGGGUUUAGAACGUCGUGAGACAGUUCGGUCCCUAUCUGCCGUGGGCGCUGGAGAACUGAGGGGGGCUGCUCCUAGUACGAGAGGACCGGAGUGGACGCAUCACUGGUGUUCGGGUUGUCAUGCCAAUGGCACUGCCCGGUAGCUAAAUGCGGAAGAGAUAAGUGCUGAAAGCAUCUAAGCACGAAACUUGCCCCGAGAUGAGUUCUCCCUGACUCCUUGAGAGUCCUGAAGGAACGUUGAAGACGACGACGUUGAUAGGCCGGGUGUGUAAGCGCAGCGAUGCGUUGAGCUAACCGGUACUAAUGAACCGUGAGGCUUAACCUU
rnacentral:rRNA from 1 species